GGUCCGGCUAAUUACGUGCCAGCAGCCGCGGUAAUACGUAAGGACCGAGCGUUGUCCGGAAUCAUUGGGCGUAAAGGGUACGUAGGCGGCUUUUUAAGUUUGACGUGAAAGCCCGGGGCUUAACUCCGGCAAGCGUUGAAAACUGGAGGGCUUGAGUGAUGGAAGGGACAGUGGAAUUCCUGGUGUAGUGGUGAAAUGCGCAGAGAUCAGGAAGAAUACCAGAGGCGAAAGCGACUUUCUAGCGAUGAUCUGACGCUGAGGUACGAAAGCGUGGGAAGCAAACAGGAUUAGAUACCCUGGUAGUCCACGCCGUAAACGAUGAGUGUUAGAUGUCCGAGGUAAACUUGGGUGUCACAAGCCAACGCGAUAAACACUCCGCCUGGGGAGUACGUACGCA
rnacentral:rRNA from 1 species